rnacentral:rRNA from 1 species
GAUGAACGCUGGCGGCGUGCUUAACACAUGCAAGUCGAACGAGAAGUGAAGACGGAAACCUUCGGGCGGAAGGCUUUAUUUCGAGUGGCGGACGGGUGAGUAACGCGUGGGUAACCUGCCUCAUACAGGGGGAUAACAGUUUGAAACGACUGUUAAUACCGCAUAAGACCACAGCACCGCAUGGUGCGGGGGUAAAAACUCCGGUGGUAUGAGAUGGACCCGCGUUCGAUUAGCCAGUUGUCGGGGUAACGGCCCACCAAAGCGACGAUCGAUAGCCGAUCUGAGAGGAUGACCGGCCACAUUGGGACUGAGACACGGCCCAAACUCCUACGGGAGGCAGCAGUGGGGAAUAUUGCACAAUGGGGGAAACCCUGAUGCAGCGACGCCGCGUGAGUGAAGAAGUAUUUCGGUAUGUAAAGCUCUAUCAGCAGGGAAGAAAAUGACGGUACCUGAGUAAGAAGCCCCGGCUAACUACGUG